rnacentral:rRNA from 1 species
UGAGGAACAUGACCUUCGGCGGGGGAUAGCCGGCCCAACGGCCGGGUAAUACCGCGUACGACCAUUUGGGGACAUCCCCGAGUGGUGAAAGCAGCAAUGCGCCGAUGGAGUGCCUCGCGGCCUAUCAGCUAGUUGGUGAGGUCAUGGCUCACCAAGGCGACGACGGGUAGCUGGUCCGAGAGGAUGACCAGCCACAUUGGGACUGAGACACGGCCCAGACUCCGUAGGAGG